rnacentral:rRNA from 1 species
CCUACGGGUGGCUGCAGUGGGGAAUAUUGGACAAUGGGCGAAAGCCUGAUCCAGCCAUGCCGCGUGUGUGAAGAAGGCCUUCGGGUUGUAAAGCACUUUCAGUGGGGAAGAAAGCCUUGGGGCUAAUACCCUCGAGGAAGGACAUCACCCACAGAAGAAGCACCGGCUAACUCCGUGCCAGCAGCCGCGGUAAUACGGAGGGUGCGGGCGUUAAUCGGAAUUACUGGGCGUAAAGCGCGCGUAGGCGGUCUGAUAAGCCGGUUGUGAAAGCCCCGGGCUCAACCUGGGAACGGCAUCCGGAACUGUCAGGCUAGAGUGCAGGAGAGGAAGGUAGAAUUCCCGGGGUAGCGGUGAAAUGCGUAGAGAUCGGGAGGAAUACCAGUGGCGAAGGCGGCCUUCUGGACUGACACUGACGCUGAGGUGCGAAAGCGUGGGUAGCAAACAGGAUUAGAUACCCCUGUAGUC